rnacentral:rRNA from 1 species
AGAGUUUGAUCCUGGCUCAGGACGAACGCUGGCGGCGUGCUUAACACAUGCAAGUCGAACGAAGAGCGACGGAAGCUUGCUUCUAUCAAUCUUAGUGGCGAACGGGUGAGUAACGCGUAAUCAACCUGCCCUUCAGAGGGGGACAACAGUUGGAAACGACUGCUAAUACCGCAUACGAUCUAAUCUCGGCAUCGAGGAUAGAUGAAAGGUGGCCUCUACAUGUAAGCUAUCACUGAAGGAGGGGAUUGCGUCUGAUUAGCUAGUUGGAGGGGUAACGGCCCACCAAGGCGAUGAUCAGUAGCCGGUCUGAGAGGAUGAACGGCCACAUUGGGACUGAGACACGGCCCAGACUCCUACGGGAGGCAGCAGUGGGGAAUCUUCCGCAAUGGACGAAAGUCUGACGGAGCAACGCCGCGUGAGAGUGAUGACGGCCUUCGGGUUGUAAAGCUCUGUUAAUCGGGACGAAAGGCCUUCUUGCGAAUAGUGAGAAGGAUUGACGGUACCGGAAUAGAAAGCCACGGCUAACUACGUGCCAGCAGCCGCGGU